rnacentral:snoRNA from 1 species
AUGAUUGUUUUUUCAAAAGAGUACUUCAAGUUAAGCUGACUGUUUUGAACCUCCUGAACAUAAAGGUAGAUGGAACUGUUCUUAUUUACAAAUAAACUCAAAAGCUUUUGAUCUACCAACAAUA